UACGUAGGGUGCGAGCGUUAAUCGGAAUUACUGGGCGUAAAGCGUGCGCAGGCGGUUGUGCAAGACAGAUGUGAAAUCCCCGGGCUAACCUGGGAACUGCAUUUGUGACUGCACGGCUGGAGUGCGGCAGAGGGGGAUGGAAUUCCGCGUGUAGCAGUGAAAUGCGUAGAUAUGCGGAGGAACACCGAUGGCGAAGGCAAUCCCCUGGGCCUGCACUGACGCUCAUGCACGAAAGCGUGGGGAGCAAACAGG
rnacentral:rRNA from 1 species